rnacentral:piRNA from 1 species
CUUGGAACGCGGAGGAAAAUGCCGGAUC